UACGUAGGGGGCAAGCGUUGUCCGGAUUUAUUGGGCGUAAAGAGCGUGUAGGCGGUUUGGUAGGUCCGCUGUGAAAACUCGAGGCUCAACCUCGAGACGCCGGUGGAAACCAUCAGACUAGAGUCCGGAAGAGGAGAGUGGAAUUCCAGGUGUAGUGGUGAAAUACGUAGAUAUCUGGAGGAACACCGGUGGCGAAGGCGGCUACCUGGCCCAACAUUGACACUGAGACCCGAAAGCGUGGGGAUCAAACAGG
rnacentral:rRNA from 1 species